AUGACUGGAAGCCAGGCCGUCUGCAGCCAGAGCUUCAGCUCUUCGACACCCAGCCAUACUGCCUUAGACAAGAGAUGCACGGUUUGGAGACAGGAAGACUGAGUCCAAGCGUGUGUCAGUCCUAAGGCCACUAACCCAGGGCAGGAUCGAACUCAGUCCCCAAACGAGGGGACCAAGACACAGAGACAUCAGCCAACCAACCCAGGGCAACCCAGCUCGUGAACGGGCGCUGAGCUCAGAUUCCAAGUCAGGUGUGACACACCUCUUGCCCUUCACCUGUUUCUCCCCAAAUGUAAUAAGAAUGUCACUCCAUGAGGGCACAGGCUUUGGAGAAGAAGCAGGAAGCAAAGCAAGGCCUUUGUGGUGCCUCAAGGGCAGGUGUCAAGGACUCCCGUUUGAGGACUUGGAUGGGGAAACUGAGGCACCAGGAGACAAAUUUAGUGGUAGCAGCUGUGUUCACACCGCACCUGGCCGCCCCCAGGCUGUGCAAUAGACGUGGCUGGUGGCAAGAGAG